rnacentral:rRNA from 1 species
ACGGGAGGCAGCAGUGGGGAAUAUUGGGCAAUGGAGGAAACUCUGACCCAGCAACGCCGCGUGGAGGAAGAAGGUCUUCGGAUCGUAAACUCCUGUCCUCAAAGACGAGAAGAAGACGGUAAUUGAGGAGGAAGCCCCGGCUAACUACGUGCCAGCAGCCGCGGUAAUACGUAGGGGGCAAGCGUUGUCCGGAAUGAUUGGGCGUAAAGGGCGCGUAGGCGGCCUGUUAAGUCUGGAGUGAAAGUCCUGCCUUUAAGGUGGGAAUUGCUUUGGAUACUGAUGGGCUUGAGUGCAGGAGAGGUAAGUGGAAUUCCCAGUGUAGCGGUGAAAUGCGUAGAGAUUGGGAGGAACACCAGUGGCGAAGGCGACUUACUGGACUGUAACUGACGCUGAGGCGCGAAAGUGUGGGGAGCAAACAGGAUUAGAUACCCUGGUA